AAUGAACGCUGGCGGCGUGCCUAACACAUGCAAGUUGAGCGGUAAGGCCCCUUCGGGGGUACACGAGCAGCGAACGGGUGAGUAUCGCGUGGGUAAUCUACCCAGAGGUGGGGGAUAGCCUCGGGAAACCGGGGGUAAUACCGCAUGAGUCCUCGACGACAUAAGUCGACGAGGGGAAAGGCGGGGCUCCUUCGGGACCUGUCGCCUCUGGAUGAGCCCGCGUCCGAUUAGCUUGUUGGUGGGGUAAUGGCCUACCAAGGCAACGAUCGGUAGCCGGCCUGAGAGGGUGAACGGCCACAUUGGGACUGAGACACGGCCCAGACUCCUACGGGAGGCAGCAGUGGGGAAUUUUGGGCAAUGGGGGAAACCCUGACCCAGCGACGCCGCGUGGAGGAUGACGGCCCUCGGGUUGUAAACUCCUGUCAGGUGGGAAGAAGAGCUUGUCGGUUAAUACCCGGCAGGAAUUGACGGUACCACCAAAGGAAGCCCCGGCUAACUCCGUG
rnacentral:rRNA from 1 species